rnacentral:rRNA from 1 species
UACGUAGGGUGCGAGCGUUAAUCGGAAUUACUUGGCGUAAAGCGUGCGCAGGCGGUUCGUCGUGUCCGAUGUGAAAGCCCCGGGCUCAACCUGGGAAUGGCAUUGGAAACUGGCGGACUCGAGUGUGGCAGAGGGGGGUGGAAUUCCGCGUGUAGCAGUGAAAUGCGUAGAGAUGUGGAGGAACACCGAUGGCGAAGGCAGCCUCCUGGGCCAGCACUGACGCUCAUGCACGAAAGCGUGGGGAGCAAACAGG